AUUGAACGCUGGCGGCAGGCUUAACACAUGCAAGUCGAACGGUAGCAGGAGAAAGCUUGCUUUCUUGCUGACGAGUGGCGGACGGGUGAGUAAUGCUUGGGAAUCUGGCUUAUGGAGGGGGAUAACUACGGGAAACUGUAGCUAAUACCGCGUAGUAUCGGAAGAUGAAAGUGCGGGACCGUAAGGCCGCAUGCCAUAGGAUGAGCCCAAGUGGGAUUAGGUAGUUGGUGGGGUAAAGGCCUACCAAGCCUGCGAUCUCUAGCUGGUCUGAGAGGAUGGCCAGCCACACUGGAACUGAGACACGGUCCAGACUCCUACGGGAGGCAGCAGUGGGGAAUAUUGCGCAAUGGGGGGAACCCUGACGCAGCCAUGCCGCGUGAAUGAAGAAGGCCUUCGGGUUGUAAAGUUCUUUCGGUAUUGGGGAAGGUUGAUGUGUUAAUAGUACAUCAAAUUGACGUUAAAUACAGAAGAAGCACCGGCUAACUCCGUGCCAGCAGCCGCGGUAAUACGGAGGGUGCGAGCGUUAAUCGGAAUAACUGGGCGUAAAGGGCACGCAGGCGGUUAUUUAAGUGAGGUGUGAAAGCCCCGGGCUUAACCUGGGAAUUGCAUUUCAGACUGGGUAACUAGAGUACUUUAGGGAGGGGUAGAAUUCCACGUGUAGCGGUGAAAUGCGUAGAGAUGUGGAGGAAUACCGAAGGCGAAGGCAGCCCCUUGGGAAUGUACUGACGCUCAUGUGCGAAAGCGUGGGGAGCAAACAGG
rnacentral:rRNA from 1 species